UGGUGUUUGUAGUCGGGCCCCUCGGGCGCGAGCUGCUGGAGCCAGGUCCAGAUGUCCUCCCAGAGGCCGGGCUCGUGGUCGUUCACGAACACGCCGGC
rnacentral:tRNA from 1 species